rnacentral:lncRNA from 1 species
GGGGGCGCUGCUGACUCGGCGUUGGGCCCGGCUCGGGGCCGCCUCCUCCCGCUGCCGCCGCUCCUCGGGAAGGGACGGCCGGUGACGGUAACCCUGGGGGAGCAGCGAGGGCACGGGGCGAUGCUUCGGUGUGAAGGGCUGCUGUGCCAUCUUGACAGGAUUCACAUGUGAAUACCCAAGAUCUGUGAUGUAUUGUUUUGCUGUGGAAAGGAGUAUAAAUAUAUUUCACUUCCAAAGGUUUCUUUAUAGAGAAAGAGAUGGGAGGGAAUUGCCCAACAUGAUGAAAAAGGUACUAACUUCCUGCAGAGCCACCAGACUGCAAAAGAGGUAAUUUUACCUUAAUCUACCCUGCUUCACUAAGCCAAAUGACUUGAAAAGUUACUUUGUGCUCUUGCAUUCUCUUCUUCUAAUUUAUUAAAUUAACAUUGGAAAUAUGAUAAAGAAACCAGUCAAGG